AUCCAGCUGACAAGCCCCAAGUAGGACGAAACGCGCAUCCUGGAU
rnacentral:hammerhead_ribozyme from 1 species